GACGAACGCUGGCGGCGUGCUUAACACAUGCAAGUCGAACGGAAAGGCCCUGCUUUUUUGGGGUUCUCGAUUGGCGAACGGGUGAGUAACACGUGAGUAACCUGCCCUUGACUUUGGGAUAACUUCAGGAAACUGGGGCUAAUACCGUAUAGGAUCUCCUGCUGCAUUGUGGGGGUUGGAAAUUUUCGGCGGUUGGGGAUGGACUCGCGGCUUAUCAGCUUGUUGGUGGGGUAGUGGCUUACCAAGGCUUUGACGGGUAGCCGGCCUGAGAGGGUGACCGGCCACAAUGGGACUGAGAUACGGACCAGACUCCUACGGGAGGCAGCAGUGGGGAAUAUUGCACAAUGGGCGGAAGCCUGAUGCAGAAACGCCGCGUGCGGGAUGACGGCCUUCGGGUUGUAAACCGCUUUCGCCUGUGACGAAGCGUGAGUGACGGUAAUGGGUAAAGAAGCACCGGCUAACUACGUG
rnacentral:rRNA from 1 species